rnacentral:rRNA from 1 species
CAGUCGCCGCGGUAGUACGUAGGUGGCAAGCGUUGUCCGGAAUUAUUGGGCGUAAAGGGCCCGCAGGCGGUUUCUUAAGUCUGAUGUGAAAGCCCCCGGCUCAACCGGGGAGGGUCAUUGGAAACUGGGAAACUUGAGUGCAGAAGAGGAGAGUGGAAUUCCACGUGUAGCGGUGAAAUGCGUAGAGAUGUGGAGGAACACCAGUGGCGAAGGCGACUCUCUGGUCUGUAACUGACGCUGAGGAGCGAAAGCGUGGGGAGCGAACAGGAUUAGAUACCCCGGUAGUCCCUGUCUCUUAUAC